AAGUCGUAACAAGGUUUCCGUAGGUGAACCUGCGGAAGGAUCAUUACCUUUCAAUGCAGCAGAAUUGGGAUGGUUGAGUAUCUCGCCUCUCAGUUCUGCCUGUAUUCUACCCUUGUUUGUCAUAUACUAUUAUUUCCUCGGCAGGCAUGCCUGCCGAGUGAAACCAUUUAUAACCUUUUUAAUUUUCAAUCAGCGUCUGAAAAAAUUAAUAAUUACAACUUUCAACAACGGAUCUCUUGGUUCUG
rnacentral:misc_RNA from 1 species